AUGAGAAUCCUCUCUUUGAUUAUCGUUCUGUUGUUAGUCAAGAAGAUCCUACUUCAUAUGACAUCAAAUAUCUCACAAGACUCAAUUCAAUCAUGUUGUUGUAUAAAUUAUCAAUGCAACUUACAGAAGAAAAUCCUUGAAACAUGCAAAGUAAAGCAAGCUUCACUACAAUGUAAAGCAAGCAAAGGCCAACUCAUAUUAUUGUUCUUCUUCAUGUAA